AGAGUUUGAUCCUGGCUCAGAUGAACGCUGGCGGCAGGCCUAACACAUGCAAGUCGAGCGGUAGCACAGAGAGCUUGCUCUCGGGUGACGAGCGGCGGACGGGUGAGUAAUGUCUGGGAAACUGCCUGAUGGAGGGGGAUAACUACUGGAAACGGUAGCUAAUACCGCAUAACGUCGCAAGACCAAAGUGGGGGACCUUCGGGCCUCAUGCCAUCAGAUGUGCCCAGAUGGGAUUAGCUAGUAGGUGGGGUAAUGGCUCACCUAGGCGACGAUCCCUAGCUGGUCUGAGAGGAUGACCAGCCACACUGGAACUGAGACACGGUCCAGACUCCUACGGGAGGCAGCAGUGGGGAAUAUUGCACAAUGGGCGCAAGCCUGAUGCAGCCAUGCCGCGUGUAUGAAGAAGGCCUUCGGGUUGUAAAGUACUUUCAGCGAGGAGGAAGGCGUUAAGGUUAAU
rnacentral:rRNA from 2 species